rnacentral:rRNA from 1 species
UACGUAGGGUGCGAGCGUUGUCCGGAAUUACUGGGCGUAGAGAGCUCGUAGGCGGUUUGUCACGUCGUCUGUGAAAUCCUCCAGCUUAACUGGGGGCGUGCAGGCGAUACGGGCAGACUUGAGUACUACAGGGGAGACUGGAAUUCCUGGUGUAGCGGUGAAAUGCGCAGAUAUCAGGAGGAACACCAGUGGCGAAGGCGACUUACUGGACUGUGACUGACGCUGAGGCGCGAAAGCGUGGGGAGCAAACAGGAUUA